UCGCCACGCCCCCACGGCGUCGCGCACGCCCACUACGCUCGUGGCCACGCCCCCUCGCCUGCCGCUCUAUGAUCAUAAUAACAGCAGCGACGUACGUUUUUUGCCGACAGUUCAUCUUCAGCCAAUCAAAGCGAGGCAUCGCUCACUCUUAUCCAAUGAGCACGCGCGACUGUGUAACCCCGCCCAUUCACGCGUUUCCUAGGAAGUGCAGGUUACGCACACUUUGUGAUCGAUUCAAAGCGCGAUCGCAGAGAUUCCGCUCUCCCUGCCUCUUUAACACAAUGGAAGUCAACAGAACGGGCAGAACAUACCUCGUAACCGGUGGAGGAGGUUAUUUCGGAUUCCGUCUCGCCUGUGCUCUCCUCAAAACCUCCUCGAGCGUCGUGCUGCUUGACGUGAGGCCGCCGAGCCAGGAGCUGCCGGAGGGCACCGUAUUCGUCCGGGCCGAUGUCCGCGACUACGCUCGGGUGGAAGAAGCGGUCCGCGGCGCGAGCUGCGUGUUCCACGUCGCCUCCUACGGGAUGUCCGGACGCGAGCAGCUCGAUCGAAAACUCAUCGAGGAGGUGAACGUGCAGGGGACGGAGAACGUCCUCAGGGCCUGCGUGGCGCACGGCGUCCCCCGUUUGGUCUACACGAGCACGUAUAACGUGGUGUUCGGGGGCCAGGAGAUUAAGGGCGGCGACGAAAGCCUCCCUUACUUCCCCUUGCACCUGCACCCCGAUCACUACUCCAGGACUAAGUCCGUAGCCGAGAUGCGGGUGUUAAAAGCGAACGGUUCGCCUCUGAAGGAUAACACAGGCGUGCUGCGGACUUGCUCCCUGCGUCCAGCCGGCAUAUACGGCCCUGGCGAGGAAAGGCACUUGCCUAGAAUAGUUAGCUACAUCGAGAGCGGCGUCUUCAGGUUCGUGUACGGUGAUCCCGAUAGCCUGGUGGAGUUCGUUCAUGUGGAUAAUCUGGUGUCUGCGCACAUCUUGGCCGCCGAGGCGCUGACUGAAGAGCGUCAGCGUCGCGCCGCCGGUCAGCCCUAUUUCAUUUCCGACGGAAGGCCUGUGAACAACUUCGAGUUUUUCAGGCCUCUGGUGGAGGGCCUGGGGCACUCGUUCCCCACGCUUCGCCUGCCCUUAUCGCUCGUGUACUUCUUGGCGUUCCUGACCGAGAUGCUCCACCGCGUCGUGGGGCGCAUUUAUAACUUUCAACCCCUGCUGACCCGCACCGAGGUCUACAAGACGGGCGUGACGCACUAUUUCAGCGGGCGUAAAGCGCGAGAAGAGCUGGGAUACGAGCCUAAACCGCAUGACCUGGAAGACGUCGUGCAGUGGUUUCGAGGCAGAGGUCAUGGGAAGAAGCGCGGCCGGUCGUCAAUUAAGAAACUAAUUUUAGACGUCGUUCUGGUGGUCGCGUUUGCAGCAGUGGCGCUCUCCUGCCUUCCGGUCGUGGGCCAGUGACGUUUGAGGAUUUCAGUUUCAGUGCAUUAUGUGAGGUUUAUACUGAUUUGUUCGCUUUUAAAAGACGUGCGAUCGUGUUAAUGCAUGUGAGGGAUGCAUUGCUGUGAAAUGCCUUUGCUUAACGGAGAGCAGCACCGAACAAAACUUGAUCGUGCUGUCCGGCAUGAUGCGAGACGAUCCGAAGAGCAUCUUGGGUUUAAGUGGAGGCGAGAAAAUCUGUCUGUACAAAGAGUCACAAGAUCAUCAUCGUCACUUAUUUACUUACAAUUGAUUAGUCACAUAGAAAUAUAAUUUUUUUUCUUUGCUUUGCUUUGAUUUGCAUUUAUGCCUUUUUGUAAUUAGUACACUGCAUACGUUUGAUCAAUUCAUGCUUUCUGGGAAUUGAACCCGUGACCUUGGCAUUGGCUGGUGUCGUGUUAGACUUUUUGAGUUAUCCUGAAAGAUUUCUGUAACUUGAAAUUUUCUGUUUAUUUUCAGCUGUACGUAAAUCUCUAUCCCAGAGUUUAGAGUCUGUGACUGGAUGAUUUAUAUUUAAAAAAAAAAA